rnacentral:rRNA from 1 species
AUUGAACGCUGGCGGCAGGCCUAACACAUGCAAGUCGAACGGUAACAGGCAGAAGCUUGCUUCUUUGCUGACGAGUGGCGGACGGGUGAGUAAUGUCUGGGAAACUGCCUGAUGGAGGGGGAUAACUACUGGAAACGGUAGCUAAUACCGCAUAACGUCGCAAGCCCAAAGAGGGGGACCUUCGGGCCUCUUGCCAUCGGAUGUGCCCAGAUGGGAUUAGCUAGUAGGUGGGGUAACGGCUCACCUAGGCGACGAUCCCUAGCUGGUCUGAGAGGAUGACCAGCCACACUGGAACUGAGACACGGUCCAGACUCCUACGGGAGGCAGCAGUGGGGAAUAUUGCACAAUGGGCGCAAGCCUGAUGCAGCCAUGCCGCGUGUAUGAAGAAGGCCUUCGGGUUGUAAAGUACUUUCAGCGGGGAGGAAGGGAGUAAAGUUAAUACCUUUGCUCAUUGACGUUACCCGCAGAAGAAGCACCGGCUAACUCCGUG